UGUAGUCUCAACGAUGAUGCAUACAUGUCCACUAUGGGUGUUGGGUCCAACAAUUCGCAUUGGUCUCAAACCAAUGACAUCCAUUUCGAAGACCAUGAGUUUGAGGUGGACGAGCAGGGUGAGGGAAUUGUCGAGGCGCCGAAAGGAAGAGCGGGCAAUUACUCAACCAACGAUGACAAGUUACUAUGCCAUACUUAUUUGCAAGUGUCGAGGGAUCCAUCCAUUGGAGGUGAUCAAAGUAGAGACGCGUAUUGGGGGUGA
rnacentral:rRNA from 1 species